rnacentral:rRNA from 1 species
CAGUCGCCACGGGAAUACGUAGGUGGCAAGCGUUGUCCGGAAUUAUUGGGCGUAAAGGGCUCGCAGGCGGUUUCUUAAGUCUGAUGUGAAAGCCCCCGGCUCAACCGGGGAGGGUCAUUGGAAACUGGGAAACUUGAGUGCGGAAGAGGAGAGUGGAAUUCCACGUGUAGCGGUGAAAUGCGUAGAGAUGUGGAGGAACACCAGUGGCGAAGGCGACUCUCUGGUCUGUAACUGACGCUGAGGAGCGAAAGCGUGGGGAGCGAACAGGAUUAGAUACCCCCGUAGUCCCUGUCUCUUAUAC